AUUGAUUCAAAUGUGGUCUAAUUUAAAUUUUUAAAAUUUAAGACAUUUUGCCAUACCAAUCUGGACGUGGUUUCUGUAGAAUGACUAAUCGUCCACUCACGUGAUCACAUAAAGGCGCCGCGAUGAGGAACAGAUAAGGGCGGAGGGACAUCGGAGCUCACAGUUUAUCGACGCCCGCAUGACGCGGACACACAAGCAACCGAUUUAAAUGUCGUCAAAUUGUUACUGCUGCUACUGUAUAUUCACCAGGCCCAUAUAUGUUUUGUAAGCUAAAGUGGUACAGGACAGGAGUCCGGUUUUUUUAAGUUUACCUGUGCUGCGGUAAAUGGGUGGGUCUGUUUUUGUGCUUGGGAACAUUGGCGCCUUCAGCUCUCUUUACUCCUCUGUAUAAAGCUGGGGAUCUACAUCAUUGAAUUCCAGUUUUGGUUUUGACUGUUUUCCACCUUUGACGUCAAAAUUUUCAGCAUGUCUGUACCUGCCAUGAGUCCUCUGGAUAAAUAUGGUGGUGUGUCUCGACAACCGGAUGCAUGUGCUGAUGUCACAUGUCAGUUUGGCAGCUGUGUGUUGGUGCAUGAAGAGCCUGUGUGUGAGUGUAGGCUGGGAUAUACUGGGAAAACCUGUCAGGAAACAAUCAAUGAUUCUUUGGCGGUCCCGCUCACCCUUGGUGUCCUGACUGUCAUAAUUGUCUCCAUUGUCCUGUUCUUUGCUGUUGCUAUUUUCCGUCAAAAGAAAAAAGCAAAAAAGAGAAAGAUGGCGUUUGAAGAAGCCUUAAGAAAUGGAGAGCAUCUUUAACAUAUCUUAAUGCAACAUGCAAUAGAAAAGUACAGUCAACACAUCACUUGCACGUCACUUGAAAGAACAUUCCAGCAUGACAUUAGUUUUCUAUUCAUUGUGCCUGAAUUCAAGCUGUGCUGUUGUUAGAAGAAUGGGAGUGUCACUGAAGAAUGGGAAUGUACUCCAUGUUUAAACAAACUAUAUUAAGGGGCACCUGUUUUGCCCUUUUUCAAGAUUUAAGAUAAGUCUUUUGUGUCUCCAGAAUGUGUCUAUAAAGCUUCAGCUCAAAAUACUCAUCAUAUUAUUUAUUAUACCUUCUGAACAUGGGGAUGUUCAGCUCUAAACACACUGUAGCAGUUUUCAUUGCCUGUGCCUGUGGUUCUCCUUGCCCGCCCAUACCUCUUGCAUGUCAGAGCCAUAGAGAUCUCUCUGUAUUGCACUGACACAUGUAGCCUUCAUGUAGAUAAACGGUACAGUGACAGACAAGAAUGACUUUAUUACAAACAUGUCUUAAAAAAUU